UCUUCACAGAAUUGCAAUCUAUUCUUGCUAAAAGAUGCCAACUUUUGCAGACAGCCAUCGCCAGCCUUUGGCAUUGUUUACGUUACAGUAUAAAAUUUCAUACGUCAAAAUCAAAAUGAGUUCCAAAACUGAAUGAAAAUGUGAAUACAAUUCAAAAUAUAUUCAAAAUUCCAUUUUAAGCCGCUUUCUGCUGCUCUUUGUAGUGAGAACGUGUACAAAACGGCCCCAAAAUCGCCCCAAAAUGAAACAUUCCUAAUAUAAAGAAUUUGCCAAUUGUCGUAUUCUGAAGUAUGGAAUUUUAUAGUCAACACCAAAUAAAAUAUUUGACGCCAUUUCCCGCGGAAAAAGGCCAUUUUAAAGUUCUUGGAAAUAUUAGUAGUUUUCCUGACAAAAGGCCUUUGGGGUGAUCAUCUAAUCGCCAUAUAUCGAGGGUCGCCCAGGAGUUUUUAGGGAACAAGACAUGUUUUGCGAUGGAACAAAGCCAAAAGUCAUAGGGAACAUGGUUGAAACUUUGUCUAAUUCAAUUCAAAGAACCUGUUCGCAGGCUAUCUUUGUGGAAAACAAGGGAGCCCCCCCCCCUCUACAUAUCCCAGGUUAAAUGAACAGUACAACGCAGGGGCGUAGGAAGCGGGGGGGCACGGGGGGCACGUGCCCCCCCCAAUUUUUUUAAAGGACUAAAAGUGCCCUUUUUUGUGAUAAAAAGUGCCCUUUUUGUGUUGAAAAGUGCCCUUUUUUUGUGAGGAAAAGUGCCCCUUUUGUAGAAGCUAAUGUCGCUGUAAAUACUAAAUUAAAACAAUAGGUGCCGUUUUUGUGUGAAAAUUUACAAAUUUUUUUUAAAAAUUAGGUCACAAACAUAAAUUUCGGUAUGAUACGACGGAAAAUUUUCCUCAGGAGAAAUUUCUCCCCCCC